UGGCAGUUGGUGUAGCUCCCCUAUUUGAGCGUUGGACUGUGCUACAGCCCCACCUCGGGAGCUGCCACUGUUUAUAAUUUUUUUAAGAAGUCACGGUGCCAUGCCUAUAGUCAAAGCAUAAGGUGGUUCAUUUGUGGAUAUAUACAAACCAUUUUUUGAGAUUCUCCCUGAGUGGGGUUAUUUUUUAGAUUUUAGUGAUUAGACCUUCACAAAUUAAGACUGAGGUCUCAUAAUUUUGAAAAUUGUCAAACAAACCUGUACUGGUAAAUGGUCUUAAGGACCUGAAGAUUUCUAUGAUUGUCAAUUUUGGAUUGUUUAGGAGUUGCCUAGCAACACCCGCACUGAUUGUUACUGAGGGCUCACGCUGUCCGGCGCUGACCGCUGAUGUCAUCUGCAGGAGACCCGCUCGAACCAGCGGCCAGACGCGGCGGGAAUGACAGCGCCGGACAGGAGUUGCCUAGCAACACCCGCACUGAUUGUUACUGAGGGCUCACGCUGUCCGGCGCUGACCGCUGACGUCAUCUGCAGGAGACCCGCUCGAACCAGCGGCCAGACGCGGCGGGAAUGACAGCGCCGGACAGGAGUUGCCUAGCAACACCCGCACUGAUUGUUACUGAGGGCUCACGCUGUCCGGCGCUGACCGCUGAUGUCAUCUGCAGGAGACCCGCUCGAACCAGCGGCCAGACGCGGCGGGAAUGACAGCGCCGGACAGGAGUUGCCUAGCAACACCCGCACUGAUUGUUACUGAGGGCUCACGCUGUCCGGCGCUGACCGCUGACGUCAUCUGCAGGAGACCCGCUCGAACCAGCGGCCAGACGCGGCGGGAAUGACAGCGCCGGACAGGAGUUGCCUAGCAACACCCGCACUGAUUGUUACUGAGGGCUCACGCUGUCCGGCGCUGACCGCUGACGUCAUCUGCAGGAGACCCGCUCGAACCAGCGGCCAGACGCGGCGGGAAUGACAGCGCCGGACAGGAGUUGCCUAGCAACACCCGCACUGAUUGUUACUGAGGGCUCACGCUGUCCGGCGCUGACCGCUGACGUCAUCUGCAGGAGACCCGCUCGAACCAGCGGCCAGACGCGGCGGGAAUGACAGCGCCGGACAGCCUCUGCUGGCAGUGCCAUAUUCGGUAUGAGAAAAAACAGAUGCUUACAAACAACUUAUCACUAGUGCCUCCUCUAAUUAUUAUAGUCUUGAUGGAACUAUACUUUGUUGUGUCUGUUUUGUAUUUGAAGAAGAAAAGGAAAACACCUCUGAUCUACAGUCGGAUCUGUGAACCAGUCCACUUCCAUCGACCUAUCACUAACUCUUCCUGAUAUUUUUUGUUGUCUACCCAAAUCCCUCCAUUUUUUUUU